rnacentral:misc_RNA from 1 species
GAAAUGCGAUAAGUAAUGUGAAUUGCAGAAUUCAGUGAAUCAUCGAAUCUUUGAACGCACCUUGCGCUCCUUGGUAUUCCUGGGAGCAGGCUUGUUUGAGUAUCAUGAAAUCUUCAAAGUAAAUCUUUUGUUAACUCAAUUGGUUUCUACUUUGGUAUUGGAGGUCUUUGCAGCUUCACACCUGCUCCUCUUUGUUCAUUAGCUGGAUCUCAGUGUUAUGCUUGGUUCCACUCGGCGUGAUAAGUUAUCUAUCGCUGAGGACACUGUAAAAGGUGGCCAAGGUAAAUGCAGAUGAACCGCUUCUAAUAGUCCAUUGACUUGGACAAUACUUUUAUGAUCUGAUCUCAAAUCAGGUAGGACUACCCGCUGAACUUAAGC